CCUACGGGUGGCUGCAGUGGGGAAUAUUGCGCAAUGGGCGAAAGCCUGACGCAGCGACGCCGCGUGAGGGAUGAAGGUCUUCGGAUCGUAAACCUCUGUCAGCAGGGAAGAACGGUCACUGUGCUAAUCAGCAGUGAAUUGACGGUACCUGCAAAGGAAGCACCGGCUAACUCCGGGCCAGCAGCCGCGGUAAUACGGAGGGUGCGAGCGUUAAUCGGAAUUACUGGGCGUAAGGCGCUCGUAGGCGGUAUGUCAAGUCAAGGGGGAAAUCCCCGCGCUCACCGUGGGAACUGCCUUUGAAACUGGCAGACUGGAGUGUGUGAGAGGAGAGUGGAAUUCCAGGUGUAGGGGUGGAAUCCGUAGAUAUCUGGAGGAACAUCAGUGGCGAAGGCGACUAUCUGGCACAUAACUGACGCUGAGGAGCGAAAGCGUGGGUAGCAAACAGGAUUAGAUACCCUUGUAGUC
rnacentral:rRNA from 1 species